AUUGAACGCUGGCGGCAUGCCUAACACAUGCAAGUCGAGCGAGCGGCGGACGGGUGAGUAAUGUAUGGGGACCUGCCCGAUAGCGGGGGAUAACUACUGGAAACGGUGGCUAAUACCGCAUACUAUUGGAUGAACCCAUAUGGGAUUAGCUAGUCGGUGGGGUAAAGGCUCACCAAGGCGACGAUCUCUCGCUGGUCUGAGAGGAUGAUCAGCAACACUGGGACUGAGACACGGCCCAGACUCCUACGGGAGGCAGCAGUGGGGAAUAUUGCACAAGGGGGGAAAGCCUGAUACAGCCAUGCCGCGUGUAUGAUGAAGGCCUUAGGGUUGUAAAGUACUUUCAGCGGGGAGGCGUUACCCGCAGAAGAAGCACCGGCUAACUCCGUGCCAGCCGCCGCGGUAAUUC
rnacentral:rRNA from 1 species